rnacentral:lncRNA from 1 species
AAGAAAACGCGAAGGCCCAAGGUCCAUAAACAACUUAAGUCAGGUGUGACAUGAUUAAAUAACAUUUUAAUUUAAAAAAUCAUGUGGACAUAACAUCAAUUGGGCAACUUCACUUAAGUGACUAGAAGACAAAACAAACAUGCACGACCAUGAUUAAAACAAAUGCAUGGGAUCUAACGGUUCAGGAGGCGCCACAUCAUCAUCUUCCUCACAAACCAAACCCUAAUGCCAUAUUCAUGCAAAAAAACGUGAAAACCAAGUGGAUUUCUUCAAUCUUC